GGAAGUGCUGUAGCUUGGUUGGUAGAGCAUUGGCCUUGCAUGUGGAAGGUUCCAGGUUCAGUCCCUGGUGCCUCCA